rnacentral:rRNA from 1 species
GACGAACGCUGGCGGCGUGCUUAACACAUGCAAGUCGAGCGGUAAGGCUCCUUCGGGAGUACACGAGCGGCGAACGGGUGAGUAACACGUGAGCAGUCUGCCCUUCUCAUCGGAAUAACCAUUGGAAACGAUGGCUAAUGCCGAAUACGACUUCCUUUCGCAUGUCAGGAAGUGGAAAGCUCCGGCGGAGAAGGAUGAGCUCGCGGCCUAUCAGCUUGUUGGUGAGGUAAUGGCUCACCAAGGCGACGACGGGUAGCCGGCCUGAGAGGGUGACCGGCCACACUGGGACUGAGACACGGCCCAGACUCCUACGGGAGGCAGCAGUGGGGAAUAUUGGACAAUGGGCGAAAGCCUGAUCCAGCAACGCCGCGUGAGGGAUGACGGCCUUCGGGUUGUAAACCUCUUUCAGCAGGGACGAAGCGAAAGUGACGGUACCCGCAGAAGAAGGACCGGCCAACUACGUGCCAGCCGCCGCGGUAA